rnacentral:rRNA from 1 species
UACGGAGGAUGCAAGCGUUGUCCGGAUUUACUGGGUUUAAAGGGUGCGUAGGCGGGCAUGUAAGUCAGUGGUGAAAUACCGGAGCUUAGCUUCGGAACUGCCAUUGAUACUAUAUGUCUUGAAUAUUGUGGAGGUAAGCGGAAUAUGUCAUGUAGCGGUGAAAUGCAUAGAUAUGACAUAGAACACCGAUUGCGGAGGCAGCUUGCUACACAAAUAUUGACGCUGAGGCACGAAAGCGUGGGGAUCAAACAGG